rnacentral:tRNA from 1 species
GGAGAGGUGCCAGAGCGGUUGAAUGGGCUAGUCUCGAAAACUAGUAACGGGUUCGCCCGUUCGGGGGUUCGAAUCCCCCCCUCUCCG